GCGGGUGUAGCUCAGUUGGUUAGAGCGCCGGCCUGUCACGCCGGAGGUCGCGGGUUCGAGCCCCGUCACUCGCG
rfam:Granulibacter bethesdensis CGDNIH1 chromosome, complete genome.